ACACCGGCGGCCCGAGUGGUGAUCGUGAUUAUUGGGUCUAAAGGGUCCGUAGCCGGUUUGGUCAGUCCUCCGGGAAAUCUGAUGGCUCAACCAUUAGGCUUUCGGGGGAUACUGCCAGGCUUGGAACCGGGAGAGGUAAGAGGUACUACAGGGGUAGGAGUGAAAUCUUGUAAUCCCUGUGAGACCACCUGUGGCGAAGGCGUCUUACCAGAACGGGUUCGACGGUGAGGGACGAAAGCUGGGGGCACGAACCGGAUUAGAUACCCGGGUAGUCCCAGCCGUAAACGAUGCUCGCUAGGUGUCAGGCAUGGCGCGACCGUGUCGGGUGCCGCAGGGAAGCCGUGAAGCGAGCCACCUGGGAAGUACGGCCGCAAGGCUGAA
rnacentral:rRNA from 1 species